rnacentral:tRNA from 1 species
UCUAAUAUGGCAGAAUAGUGCAAUGAAUUUAAGCUUCAUAUAUAAAGCUCAUAAACUUUUUUUAGAA